rnacentral:rRNA from 1 species
GGUUGGGCUACACACGUGCUACAAUGGCGGCGACAAUGGGCAGCGAAGGGGCGACCCGGUGCAAAUCCCAAAAAGCCGUCUCAGUUCGGAUUGUACUCUGCAACUCGAGUGCAUGAAGGUGGAAUCGCUAGUAAUCGCGUAACAGCAUGACGCGGUGAAUACGUUCCCGGGCCUUGUACACACCGCCCGUCACACCAUGGGAGUUGGUUUUACCCGAAGCUGGUGCGCUAACCGCAAGGAGGCAGCCAACCACGGUAAGGUCAGCGACUGGGGUGAAGUCGUAACAAGGUAGCCCUAGGGGAACCUGGGGAUGAUCACCUCCUGAAGCUUGGAUACCCGGGAAUCGAUUC